rnacentral:lncRNA from 13 species
UUUUUGUAUAAAUUGGUUGUCUACUAAAUAAUUUACAAAGAACUGUUUUGGUUUUUUUCUUUAGGACACAUACUAGCUGAAAAAGUGGCUUCUACAGCUGCAAGAGGAGAUCACUCCCAAUGGCUACAUGCUCUCAGGCAUUUAGAAUCAGCAUUGAAACUUUGCAGAGCAGCUGCAACAAAAAAAUUAGAUAUGGAAGCUGAACUUCUUUUUCAGAUAGGUAAGGUAGAACGCCAGAUAACUGAAACAGGCAAUAACAAGUCAUCUCAAGCUGUUGAAACCCUGUUGGAAGCUAUUAACCUCAGCCAGAAACAUGAUCAAAAAUAUGAGUUAAUAAGGCGGGCAUACCUUGAAAUAGCACUAUUAUAUUUGUAUUUUGCCACAGAUAAUGAGGAUGUAUCACAGACAGAUAAGUUGGUGCCUUCCAAAUCAAGUGUAUGUUUUCUAUUGUCUGGGUAGUGGCCUCUUCAAAGCAGGAAAUAUAUAUUGUGCACCAUGCCAUAUUAUUGCUUGCAGUGACUUAUAAAUCAUACUGAUACUGAAAGUCCUCCUAGAAAAAUCACACGAAGAAAUCAUACAAUAGAAUUUGACCUUGUUUGAUGUUAUCUCUCAUGUUUAUUGCAUUGAAUGAUAAUAUUUAAAAUAUUUUUCUGUAUGAAAUAGGAAGACACAACCAACAGUGUUUUCAUUUCUGAUUAUAAAUGAAUUAAUUUGUACCUUGCAAAAUAUACUUAACAUUCAAACCUGUUUUUUAAAUGCUAACUUCACCAGAUUUCAAUUUUUCCAUACAAAUAUGAAUGACAGUAUGAGAAAUACAAGUGCCUUUAACCACAUUCAAGUUCCUACAACCCAUAGGUGGAAAGCAAAAUGUGUAACAUUAGAGAAAAGAGGUAAUUAAGAUUCCAAAAAAUGGAAUAUGAUAGCAACACUGUAAACAGUAGUGACUGUAGGAUAAGCUGCUCUGAGAAAACUUUCCAGGAGCAGCCAAUUAGCAUGCACUGGAUAAUUUUUUCAUUUUUAGGAAAUAUCCAUGGAUUUACAGUCAAUGCCAAGUUUUACAACUUACAAAUAAAACAAUUACUUUAUAAGUCGGAGGACUUUUUUCUAUGUUUAGAAUAUAUUUUACUGUAAUAUAUUUAGAAUCCUGAUUAUGAACUGGUGUAUAAUUUUAGACCUCUUCUGGAGAACUGUCUUCCGAGGAGGCUGUGAAAUCAGAAGUCUACAAAGUAAAAGCCUGGAUUGCAAUAAGAGCAGCUACACAGGUUGGUGCAAUAUUCUAAAGAGGUGAUUUUUUUUUUUUUUUUUUUUAAUUUCAUCUUAUUCUAUUUACAAAAGCGAACAAGGAAAUGCAAACAACAAGAGUAUUAAGGUUUCCUGAAAUUUCUAGCAUGGGUCUUUUUAAAUAAAAUUAAAAUGGAUGCUGUCUGAAUAGUGCAUUUAAUCUCUCUUGGACAGAUCUGACUCUGUUUACCUCGACUUUGAUUCAGUGCAAAUAAAAGGGCACAUGACCUGAUAUGUAUGCACAUGUAUUUGACAUGUGGGCAGACAUCAGUGGCAUCCAGAUGAGGAUAUCUGAUUUGAAAUCACUUAUGUAGUAAUUAAGCUGUCAGCAGUAAUGAUUUAUUUAAAU